rnacentral:lncRNA from 1 species
UAACAUUGGGUAUGAAUUCCAUCGAAUUUCCCUUAGUUUACUUUGAUCAAGGCUUGAAGUAAGGAGUUUGUAUUGUACCACUUUAUUUGGACUUUGGUUCUGUUUGAACAUAUCCUUUAAGUAAAGAAUUUUGUAAAAGUCUGUUUAAAAGAGAAGUUUCCUUAAAAUUUCCAAAUAUAUAUUUUAAUAGGCUAUUUUUUUCCCGGAUCCAAACCAAAUUAAAUAAAAAUAAAAAUUACAAGUCCAUUUUUUUUAAAAAAAACCCUAAGCCCAAAUUACAAGCCCAUAACCUAAACUAAGUUUCUGUAAAAUAAAAAAAAUCCUAGCCUCCAGCGUCGCUGCCCUCCACGUGAACGGGCACGACGCUUGAGGUCUAACGGGCUUUUGCUGUCAUUUCACCAAAAUGGCAAGGGCACGCUUUCUGCCACCGUCACUAACUACUACCUGCAAAGAAAAAAUGGAAAAGAUAGGAACAAUAGAAGCAGAUGCAGGAAUAGUGACAAAAUAAAAAAUAUAUGUAUUUUAAACAAGUGUAAAAUGACUAUAAAAGUCAGGGAAUAGAUUGUAUUAAAAAAAAGGGAUCGAAAUCGAACACAAACACACAAAAAAAGGUGGUUCUUUUUGUUUUUUUUAUUUUAUUUUCAAAAAUAAGUAAUAAAAUAAAAAGGAAACUUUUUACCUUCAUUGUCGCUGCUGUUGUCUCCAUUCGUCUCCCUUCGUUUUGAAAGACCGUCGGAUCCUCGGGGAUUCGCUGAAAGGUCGCAUUGGAGAGACCGAGAACCGAAAGGUUCCUUUGCUUUUUUGGUAUUUUGGUGUUUUUUUUGGGGGGGGGGGAUUUUGGCAUUUGAUUUGGGUUGAAGAAGGUAAAAUGGCCACAAGGGGCACUUUUUUUUAUGAAAUCUGACCACAGGAGACGGCGGUAGCCAUCGCCGAUGACCGGUGGCCGCGGCGGAUGGACGGCGAUCCCCUAGGCCGGAUCCAACCCCUUUUCAGAGAAAACAAGAGAAAAAUAAAGUUUUUUUUAUCCUGUCUCAAA